UUACUUAAGACACCCACCAUCACAAAACUUUAAAGCCCGAAAGCGCAAUUUCGGGCUUUU
rnacentral:sRNA from 1 species